AUGAACGCUAGCGGCAGGCUUAACACAUGCAAGUCGAGGGGUAUAGGUUUUCGGACCUAGAGACCGGCGCACGGGUGCGUAACGCGUAUGCAAUCUACCUUUCACAGAGGGAUAGCCCAGAGAAAUUUGGAUUAAUACCUCAUAGUAUUAUAGAAUGGCAUCAUUUUAUAAUUAAAGUCACAACGGUGAAAGAUGAGCCAUGCGUCCAUUAGCUAGUUGGUAUGGUAACGGCAUACCAAGGCAACGAUGGGUAGGGGUCCUGAGAGGGAGAUCCCCCACACUGGUACUGAGACACGGACCAGACUCCUACGGGAGGCAGCAGUGAGGAAUAUUGGUCAAUGGGCGCAAGCCUGAACCAGCCAUGCCGCGUGCAGGAUGACGGUCCUAUGGAUUGUAAACUGCUUUUGCACAGGAAGAAACAACGCUACGUGUAGCGUCUUGACGGUACUGUGAGAAUAAGGAUCGGCUAACUCCGUG
rnacentral:rRNA from 1 species